rnacentral:rRNA from 1 species
GCUGGCGGCACGCCUAACACAUGCAAGUCGAACGAAGUAGCAAUACUUAGUGGCAGACGGGUGAGUAACAUGUAGGUAUCUGCCCUUUGGCCUGGAAUAACACGAGGAAACUUGUGCUAAUACCGGAUAAGUCUUUACGGAGAAAGCUUUAUGCACCAUUGGAUGAGCCUGCACUUGAUUAGUUUGUUGGUGGGGUAAUGGCCUACCAAGACUGUGAUCAAUAGCUGAUUUGAGAGGAUGAUCAGCCACAUUGGGACUGAGACACGGCCCAAACUCCUACGGGAGGCAGCAGUGGGGAAUCUUGCACAAUGGAGGAAACUCUGAUGCAGCGAUGCCGCGUGAGUGAAGAAGGCCUUUGGGUUGUAAAGCUCUUUCGUCGGGGAAGAAAAUGACUGUACCCGAAUAAGAAGGUCCGGCUAACUUCGUGCCAGCAGCCGCGGUAAUACGAAGGGACCUAGCGUAGUUCGGAAUUACUGGGCUUAAAGAGUUCGUAGGUGGUUGAAAAAGUUGGUGGUGAAAUCCCAGAGCUUAACUCUGGAACUGCCAUCAAAACUUUUCAGCUAGAGUAUGAUAGAGGAAAGCAGAAUUUCUAGUGUAGAGGUGAAAUUCGUAGAUAUUAGAAAGAAUACCAAAUGCGAAGGCAGCUUUCUGGAUCAUUACUGACACUGAGGAACGAAAGCAUGGGUAGCGAAGAGGAUUAGAUACCCUCGUAGUCCAUGCCGUAAACGAUGUGUGUUAGACGUUGGAAAUUUAUUUUCAGUGUCGCAGCGAAAGCAAUAAACACACCGCCUGGGGAGUACGAC